UGGAGCACUACACGUCACCUGAGUCCACCAUCACACCGCCGUUCUCGCCAGUUUUUAGCCAUUUUCUCGCCCAAAUAUCCAUCUUUUCGCCAUCGUGGAUAUUGUGGUUGUGAUAUGAAUCAGUAUGGUUGAAGGAUCGACCCCAGACAUGGGGGCUGCGGAGGGGGUUGUUGCCCCUCCGCAGCAGCAGCGAGCGAGGAGGUCGUGGUGCUGCAGAUUCCUCCGGUGACAACCCGUCGCCCAACCAUCUGUUAUGGUCGCAUCCUCCUGGGCGAGAUAACACCACUGCUGGCCGCCAUGAAGCGGUCAACUCCCCGCUGGUCGUCACACCAGCAGGACAUGGAACGUGAUCCGCUGGUCAUGAAGUUGAAGGAGUUGAGGACUACGGUCACCUCCCUGGGUCCAGAUGACACCAUGGACCCCAGUACAUUCCUGGAUCCAUUUCUGGCAAUCAUCCGUUCUGAGGACACCACCGGGCCUGUCACCAAAGGUGCUCUGGCUGCUGU